rnacentral:rRNA from 1 species
AUUAGUUUUUUAAUUGAAGGCUAGAAUGAAUGGUUGGACAAGAAAUAAUCUGUCUUAAUUAAAUAUAUUGAAUUUAACUUUUGAGUGAAAAGGCUUAAAUAAUCUGAAGGGACGAUAAGACCCUAUAAAACUUUAUAUUUAUAGAUUAAUAGUUAAUUUUAUUUAAAUAUAUUAUUUUAAAGUAUUUUGUUGGGGUGACAAGGAUAAAAUUGAAAUUAACUGUCCUUUUUUAUUACAGUAAUAUUUGGUUUAAUGAUCCUCAAAUGGAUUAAAGAUUAAGUUACUUUAGGGAUAACAGCGUAAUUUUCUUUAAGAGUUCUUAUCGACAAGAAAGUUUGCGACCUCGAUGUUGAAUUAAAAGUUCUUUAUAGAGUAGAGACUAUAAAAGAAGGUCUGUUCGACCUUUAAAUUUUUACAUGAUUUGAGUUCAGACCGGUGUGAG